rnacentral:lncRNA from 1 species
CUAAUUUUCCAUGACUAGUUCGAGCAUUUCGACUGGUAACUGGAGAAAGACACGCGUGAUAUAUUAAGGUUCCUGUUUUUGGAUCAAAACUUCCAAAAAACGUAUUCAAAGUCUCGGAGAGCAGAUCCUGAGGAUCACUGGAAUAAUCAGUACCAUUUAUUUACUAAAAGUAACCCUUCAAACUUUUAGCACUAAUAUUUGUUAUCUAGAAACUAUUUAUAACUAGAUAACUAGAUAACUGGCUUAUUGUCUUUUUAACUCUUUAAGCUCUUAUAAGGAAACAAAAUCGUGAAGUAGGCUAAUUUUUAAAGGUAAAAAGCCAGUGCUAUAUGUUAAAAGCAAACAUAAUGAGCGGUGUUAGACUUGUCUAGAAAUAUUGCAAUUUCUGCUAAGCUAUUAUUGUGAAAAGUCGGUUGAGUAAACACAGGUGCUUGCCAGCUGAAGGUACAGUUUGUUUUGAGCUGAAGUAUGCGUCAACGCUUUUUGCAAACUUUAAGAACAACUUGAUGUCUAAACUAGAUACUUCAUCUAAUCUUUUGAACUGCAAAACUCCUAAAUAUCUAGGAUGAGUUCUAGAUAAGUCUGAAGUGAAGCAUGGGUAUCUUAGCGUCUCUUAAUGCCGCUUCCUUGCAUUUUCGGCGUGUAUCGUCCUAACUUAUAUCCAUCCGGCUCGCAUAUGGUGCCAGUAGGUUGUAAUCUGUUAGACCACCAACCGUCCUGCAGUUCUUCAGUCGUGUUUUGAAAGCUUUAUCUUAAGAUCAGAGACAAAAUUGUCGAACAUCCAAAUUUUUAGGUAGGUGUGGACUGAUAACUUUUGGAAAAGUGAGAUUCGUGCUUCUGUAACAAAUUCUUAUAAAAAUCUGAAAAAAAUUAACAAUUGUGUUUUUAAUGAUUUCGAAUAAAUUUCGAUUUAAAUCCGAGAUAUUCUAACAAAUUUUUAGUUUAUACAACAAUUUAUAAUUAAAACAAAUUUUGAUUAGGAAAAAGUUAAAAAGUUUCCCAGGCACAUACAUACGUGGAGCAAAUAACUGUUUUAAUGAAUUUAAAAUUUUUCCAAAAUUUGAAAAAAUAUACCGCAUUUUGAAUUUUAAUUGCUUCGAAAAAUUCGUUCAAAGACAAGAUGGUGCCACAAUUUAACUUAUUGCAAAAAAUAAUCCAAUGUUAUCUCAAGAUGUUCUUUAAAAGUGAUUUUACAAAUGUCUAGUACUUCAAACUUUAGCUCCAAAUUUUUCAUGUGAACUUUGAUACCAUUUUGCAAAUAAAAGGAUGGAAAUGUUUAUAGAAGAAAAUGGUUUAAAAUCUGUAUAGAAGAAAUAGAAAGAAAAUUUUCUAUAGAAGAAAUAGACAUUUCUAUACAUUUAAUUCUUAGGGUGAUCGCAGAGUAAACGUUUCAAACCGAGCCGAGCGGAAAUUCGCGUGUUGCGUUAAUGGCAAGAUGCGAUCGGCUCGUCUUGACACUCUGCGGGCACCUUUAAUGCGGUUUUUACCCGCUACCACGAACAAGUGUGCAAAAAAACCUGAGUUUAAUACUUUUUUAGGAGAAAAUAAACGUUUGAUAACCUAAAAUCAGUUGAAUUACUGGGGGACAUGAAAUAGAGGGUUGUAACUCUGGGAAUGAAGACAGUGUCCAAAGGGAUACUUUUUAAAGUGAGUUAUAAACAUGAUUUACUUCCUAAACAUAUCAAACAUAAUUCAAAUUAUUUAAAUAAACAAUUUUUAAGCUUUUAUAAAGAUUCUUACACCAGCUAACAGUCAAAUAAUAUCAAAAGAUAUUCCAAAACUGGAUCAUUCCUUUAUCGACUUUAUUACUAAGGCCGAAAAUAUUCAGAAUUUGUAUAUGUGUUGUCAAUAUCUAGCUUUCUGCAUUUAUCUAUUUUUUUUAGAAAAGGUUCAAGAGAAAUGUUUCUUAUGUUUCAAAAAACCGUUAGUCGAUUAAGGCAAACGAUGCAGCAAAUUAAAGGUCAUUAAAAUGAAAAAGAAUUUGGGAUAUAAAUCGAAACUUAUUCGAAAUCAUUAAAAGCACGAUUGCCAAUUUUUUCAGAUCUUUAUAUGAACUCGAAAAUUUGUAAAUUUUUCAUAACAUGAAGAAAGCGCGAAAAGUAGGAAGAAAUGAAGAAAGCGGAAGUUGAUGGCAUUUUAUUUAAGACGUGUUUGCGUAUUCUCGAUAUUUUAGUUGGACAGUUUUUCCUCCGUGAUAUUCGACGAUAUCUCGACAGUAAACAAAUUGUGAGAAACUGCAGACUUUCUGCUCAAUUAGAAGCUGUAAUUCGUUCAAAAAGUUAUUUUAAAAAAUAUUUCUGCAAAACAACGUAUCAUCGAAAAAUCGAAAUUUAGUUUUUAUUGCUUACGAUACACCACAUCAUGUUACAUAGAUGAAGCAUAAAAUUUUCAGCUUCCGCAGUCAGGUAUAACCAAUAUAUACCCAAUUUAAGGCCAAAACUCAAAUUUUGUUUCAAUGUGAGUGGUUUCUAUUACAAAGGUUUUCCUUUACCUGUAUAUUUCUGAAAAGUGAUACGUUAUUUGCAUUUUAGGUGACGAUUUGUAGACCGUUUUAAUUAUUUCUGAUAAUAUUUGUAGUAAAUUUUCGAAAAAUGAAUAAGUUACGAAAAGUGUUAGUUUAAUGAUGCUUAAACUGAUAUAUAAUUUAUUUUUCUCGAUUUUGUGGCUAUUGGAGAUUUUAGUUUGACACUUUUUUCCUUUGUAAAAACCAUUAUUCGACGAUAGCUCGAAACCCAUAUGGCCGAGCACAAUUGGUGGGAAACUUCGGGCUCUGUAAACAAUAUCAUAUAUAGAGGUUGUAAGGUCUGAAGCUUAAAAAAAAUUGUAGAACUUCUUAACAAUUUCUGAUAAGCUUUUGGAGCAUGCGUUCAAAAAACGGAUCCUGAGCAGGAGCAUAGGAUAGUUCAUUCAUUUAUUAUUUUUGGAUAUUAUUAUUUAUAUGCUUUAACCAGUUAUAUUUGCCAUUUUUUAAUAAAAUUUUUCUAGGUAUAAACCUAUUUUUCUCUGUAUAAAUUUUACUAGUAAAUACAUAUACAUAUAUUCAUUCAUAUAUGGUACCAUACAUACAUAUAUAUGGUAAAAAUACAAAGACACUAUUACUCGUCUAUGUAACGACAGUCGUUCACGAUCAUACAUACAUACAAACUUGCAUAGUUAUAAAUAAACUGUAAAAUGUUGAUCAUUGUUAAUUUACACAUCUGUAGGUAAUUUUAAUAUCAUAAACAUACAUAUAAUGGUUAUUAGUGUGAGUAGCAUAGCAAAGACAUUAAACAAAUUCAUUCGAGUGAAUAAGGAAAUCCGUUGUGGUGCUGCUGAAAAAUACUUAAUUGCAUAAACUACUCGUAAAACUUAUGAAUAUAUGUAACUUUAAACAAGAACAAGCUAAGACUACAACAUGUCAACAUAUAAAAAUAACAACAACAAAAAUAAACGCAUACAGUAUGGUAGGUGUAGUAGGAAAAUUGCAUAAGCAAAAUAUUGAAUAUGUAAAUGUUUCCAAAAAAAUCUAUGUAUGUGUAUACAUAACAGUUAAUAAGAAGCUUAUGAGCGCUAACGCUUGAUGAACAACUGAAAACUGAAAAAUGAAACACAAAACCAAAAUAUCAAAUACUACUGAACAACUGCUCAGCUUACCGUGGAGCAUUUAUAAGAAAUACAUAUAUAAAUAGAAGCAAUCAAUGUAACUAAAAGCAAAGCUCAUGCAUACACACGCAUACCUACGUAAAUAUAUAUACACAUAUACAUAUGUAUGUAAGCAAAUAAAUAGGCUGCUUUCAAUCGGCGGCAACAAUAGAUCAAAGAAUUGGCACAAAUUAAUUAUUAUUCUACGCUCAGACCACACUGUGCAACAAAUAUGCUGGGGGCGCUGUAACAAAGAAAUUAUAGAGUCAUAUAAUUGAAGAGGGAAAAGUUAGCAGACGAUGGCAAUAAAAAAAGCUUAGCAGCACCUUUUAGGAAGCCACGAGAAAAAUUCUGUUACAGUGGUACAAAGUUUGAGAUUUUUUGGUCAAAAAUUUAGUAAAAAAAUGUGUGAACUUCGGUAGAGCAUAGAAUUAAUGUUGCUUACUUGCUUCAAAGCGCACAGACAUUUACCGGAGAACAUUUUCACUCUAACAUAUUAACCCGCUAAAUACUCCGAAAGGGUAAUUUUGACCCUUGAUUUCGAAAACGUGCUAAAAGUAGUUUUAGCAAUUUACAUGUGGGUGAGAAGUAUUCUUUAAAAUAUUUUUAAGCAAUUUUCACAGUGGGUCACCAAAAAUAAGUAUUAGCUAAUCAUACAAACCUUAACGUUACAUAUGAAAUUCGAAUUUUAAUUUUUUUAGCGCUUGAGGCUUGCUUGCCUACAAUAGCAUCUAGUCAAUUUUGUUUAGAAAUAUUUUAUUGAACGCUUCAAACUUUCAAUUUUUCUCCGAAAAUAAUAAUCUAGCCUUUUCUCCGCAAAAAAAGUUCAAAAUUACCCGUACUGUUCAUUAGAGAGUUAACACUUGCUGGAAAAAAAUGUUGCGAACAGUUUUAGUACUAAAUAGAAUGGACAAAGGUCAAAGAAACCGUGCUUUUCAUUAGAGGGCUAACAUUUUUUAAGAGAAUUAACCCUAAAAGCUUUUGAACUG